ensembl:lncRNA
UUUUUAAUUUCUGAUUGAAAAUAUUUUUUUUUUUUUUUUUUGUGAAAUUUCUUUAUGUGUAGAAAUAGUUUCUUCACCAAUUUUUGAGUGAAGACACCAGUUCUGUUUGUCCAUGUGGGAACCCUGAUGUUGUUAAAAACACGUGGCGUUUGUCACAUUGCAUGUCAAUACAGAACAUCAUUAACAUUUCUCGGUGGGUUUGUUCACAGAGGUAUGAAAGAGUCCAGCCGUGUGAAGUUGAAGUGGACAAGUGGAAGACGUGCCGCUGCCGCCGGACCCCCGAGGGCCCCUUUGGAGUUUACAAACACAGACAUAGGGCCGUUCUCUAUCCUGCAUCAGACAGAAGGAAUGUCGAUCUUUCGUGGUCGUUCCUCUCCGUGCCACCGGGUUCAGGAACACAGCCGUCAGCUCUGAGGAAGUCAACGCACAAAAGAGGGAAAUCACCGAGCGCUCGGGAUGCUGGGAUGUCAUCAGAACACUGUGAUAACUGCAGGACUAAACCUACCUAAUGGGAUCCCCC